UCCAUCCCUGAGCAUUUUUCACCUUUACAGGGGCGUUGUGGGCCAGGAGUAAAUGGGCACACUCUGGAAAAAAGAAAGACAGCAGAAGAUAGAGGCGCCUCACUGCUGCAACACUGAUCAGGAGGACUGAAGAUUAAUGGGCGACCUUCGUUCCUGGGCUACUGAACCUGACCAGCCUCCACAUGACCUUGUUGUAAACAUGAGGUGGACUGUCCCCAGCAGAUUUACUUGCCUGACCCAUGGGAGCACAAAGGAAUUACUCCCCAAGAGCCACCAGCUGAGAUACAGACCAACAAGAUUGCAACACAAUACAAGUACAAAUGUCCUUUUCUAUAACACCAAGGCAUGCCAGGGUGCGUCACAAUCAAAAUGUAAAAGAUUCCCCAUGACCUUGUGGUUAAAUCUGCUCCAGCUAUUAAAAAGCCCACUGAAACA